UGUUCUGUAGCUUAGUUGGUUAAAGCACCGGUCUAGCGAAUACGGAGUCGUGGGUUCGAAUCCCACUAGAAUGC
rfam:Aedes albopictus isolate Foshan contig61203, whole genome shotgun sequence.